ACGGGAGGCAGCAGUGAGGAAUAUUGGUCAAUGGGCGGAAGCCUGAACCAGCCAAGUCGCGUGAGGGAAGAAGGUCCUACGGAUUGUAAACCUCUUUAGCCGGGGAGCAAUAAGCGCUAUGUAUAGCGUGAUGAGAGUACCCGGAGAAUAAGGAUCGGCUAACUCCGUGCCAGCAGCCGCGGUAAUACGGAGGAUCCGAGCGUUAUCCGGAUUUAUUGGGUUUAAAGGGUGCGCAGGCGGUCUUUUAAGUCAGUGGUUAAAUCGUGGAGCUUAACUCCAUCCCGCCAUUGAUACUGGAGGACUUGAUUGCGGUUGAGGUUGGCGGAAUUCGCCGUGUAGCGGUGAAAUGCAUAGAUAUGGCGAAGAACUCCGAUUGCGUAGGCAGCUGACCAAGCCGUAAAUGACGCUCAUGCACGAAAGUGCGGGGAUCGAACAGGAUUAGAUACCCUGGUA
rnacentral:rRNA from 1 species